CACCCAAAACACCACUAUUUCCUGCAUUCUAAGAUCAAUUUUCAUGUCUUGAAGUCGAUCAAAUCAUCAUCGAAACAUUUUUCUGCAAAGAGCAAGCUCUGUGAAAAGGCUCCUGCCUCUUGAUGGUAGGUAUAGAAAUGGGGAGGAUGAGUGAGAGAGGGGAAAGCAUGGAAGCGCAAUUUUCUAUAUUUAUCAUCUUGUACAGUUGGCGGAGGAAGACCGAGACAGCCAUUAUUCGUUCCUAGGAGGGUGUGAUACAUUGAAAUGAAAUGCAAACGACCCACGCUAUUCCGUCGCAGUUUCCAAUAAGCACCUAGUUUUGGACUUGGAGACCAUCAACACACGUCGAUCCAAUAGCUUCAUCGUUCAGCGUCAGCAGGUCCCAGCUCAAUUCCAAGGAGCAGAAAACUGACAAGAAAAAGAAGAAAAAGAGAAGAGAAAAGGAUCUUGACACGCAGCUGACGCUAUCUGUUGUGAUAUCUGCCUGGUUGACAGUGUAACGAGCAAAUAGUAUAGUUGAAAAUAAAUGAUUAAUAAUUAUAUACAAUA
rnacentral:sRNA from 2 species